rnacentral:tRNA from 1 species
GCGCCCUUAGCUCAGUUGGUAGAGCAGCCGCUUUACACGCGGAAGGUCGGGAGUUCAAAUCUCUCAGGGCGCA